UACAGAGGUGGCAAGCGUUGUUCGGAAUUACUGGGCGUAAAGGGCGCGUAGGCGGCCUUCUAAGUCAGACGUGAAAUCCCCCGGCUUAACCUGGGAACUGCGUCUGAUACUGGGAGGCUAGAGUAUGGGAGAGGGAUGUAGAAUUCCAGGUGUGGCGGUGAAAUGCGUAGAUAUCUGGAGGAACACCUGCGGUGUAGACAGCUUUCUGGACCACUUCUGACGCUGAGACACGAAAGCGUGGGUAGCAAACAGG
rnacentral:rRNA from 1 species